UACGUAGGGUGCAAGCGUUGUCCGGAAUUAUUGGGCGUAAAGAGCUCGUAGGCGGUCUGUCGCGUCUGCUGUGAAAACUCGGGGCUUAACCCCGGGCCUGCAGUGGAUACGGGCAGACUAGAGGUAGGUAGGGGAGAAUGGAAUUCCCGGUGUAGCGGUGAAAUGCGCAGAUAUCAGGAGGAACACCAAUGGCGAAGGCAGCACUCUGGGACGGUACUGACGCUGAGACGCGAAAGCGUGGGGAGCAAACAGG
rnacentral:rRNA from 1 species